rnacentral:piRNA from 1 species
UUGCCUGCUCACCUUGAUUGGGCCCAGGU